rnacentral:rRNA from 1 species
CCUACGGGGGGCAGCAGUGGGGGAUAUUGCACAAUGGAGGAAACUCUUAUUCAUCUACUCCUCUUUAUUUAAUACUUUCUUCUUAUUUUAAACCUCUUUCUUUUGUUAAUAAAAUGACGGUACCCAAAGAGGAAGCUCCGGCUAACUACGUGCCAGCAGCCGCGGUAAUACGUAGGGAGCGAGCGUUGUCCGGAAUUACUGGGUGUAAAGGGAGCGUAGGCGGGCGAGAAAGUUGAAUGUUAAAUCUACCGGCUUAACUGGUAGCUGCGUUCAAAACUUCUUGUCUUGAGUGAAGUAGAGGCAGGCGGAAUUCCUAGUGUAGCGGUGAAAUGCGUAGAUAUUAGGAGGAACACCAGUGGCGAAGGCGGCCUGCUGGGCUUUAACUGACGCUGAGGCUCGAAAGCGUGGGGAGCAAACAGGAUUAGAUACCCGGGUAGUC